AUUGAACGCUGGCGGCAGGCUUAACACAUGCAAGUCGAGCGGAGUGAUGGUGCUUGCACUAUCACUUAGCGGCGGACGGGUGAGUAAUGCUUAGGAAUCUGCCAUUUAGUGGGGGACAACAUUCCGAAAGGAAUGCUAAUACCGCAUACGUCCUACGGGAGAAAGCAGGGGAUCUUCGGACCUUGCGCUAAAUGAUGAGCCUAAGUCGGACUUGCUAGUUGGUGGGGUAAAGGCCUACCAAGGCGACGAUCUGUAGCGGGUCUGAGAGGAUGGUCCGCCGCACUGGGACAGUGACACGGAGCAGACUCCGACGGGAGGAAGCAGUGGGGAAUUUUGGACGAUGGGCGGAAGCCUGAUCCAGCCAUGCCGCGUGUGUGAAGAAGGCCUUUUGGUUGUAAAGCACUUUAAGCGAGGAGUAGGCUACUAGUACUAAUACUACUGGAUAGUGGACGUUACUCGCAGAAUAAGCACCGGCUAACUCUGUGCCAGCAGCCGCAGUAAUAC
rnacentral:rRNA from 1 species